GAUGAACGCUGGCGGCGUGCCUAAUACAUGCCAGUCGAGCGAACAGACGAGGAGCUUGCUCCUCUGACGUUAGCGGCGGACGGGUGAGUAACACGUGGAUAACCUACCUAUAAGACUGGGAUAACUUCGGGAAACCGGAGCUAAUACCGGAUAAUAUAUUGAACCGCAUGGUUCAAUAGUGAAAGACGGUUUUGCUGUCACUUAUAGAUUGAUCCGCGCCGCAUUAGCUAGUUGGUAAGGUAACGGCUUACCAAGGCAACGAUGCGUAGCCGACCUGAGAGGGUGAUCGGCCACACUGGAACUGAGACACGGUCCAGACUCCUACGGGAGGCAGCAGUAGGGAAUCUUCCGCAAUGGGCGAAAGCCUGACGGAGCAACGCCGCGUGAGUGAUGAAGGUCUUCGGAUCGUAAAACUCUGUUAUUAGGGAAGAACAAAUGUGUAAGUAACUAUGCACGUCUUGACGGUACCUAAUCAGAAAGCCACGGCUAACUACGUG
rnacentral:rRNA from 1 species